UAUUUACUCCCUCAGUCUAAAAAUACUUGUCAAAGAAGUGUCUAAAAAUGAAUGUAUCUAGAACUAAAAUACAUCUAGAUACAUCCAUUCCUCCGACGAGUAUUUCCGGACGGAGGGAGUAUUAU
rfam:Triticum aestivum genome assembly, contig: Triticum_aestivum_CS42_TGACv1_scaffold_514178_6BS